rnacentral:rRNA from 1 species
AAACAUGCAAGUCGAGCGGGGAAAGGUAGCUUGCUACCUGACCUAGCGGCGGACGGGUGAGUAAUGCUUAGGAAUCUGCCUAUUAGUGGGGGACAACAUUCCGAAAGGAAUGCUAAUACCGCAUACGCCCUACGGGGGAAAGCAGGGGAUCUUCGGACCUUGCGCUAAUAGAUGAGCCUAAGUCAGAUUAGCUAGUUGGUGGGGUAAAGGCCUACCAAGGCGACGAUCUGUAGCGGGUCUGAGAGGAUGAUCCGCCACACUGGGACUGASACACGGCCCAGACUCCUACGGGAGGCAGCAGUGGGGAAUAUUGGACAAUGGGCGCAAGCCUGAUCCAGCCAUGCCGCGUGUGUGAAGAAGGCCUUUUGGUUGUAAAGCACUUUAAGCGAGGAGGAGGCUAC